UUCCCGUGGCACCUCCCCCACCAAUUUCGACCCCCAAACAACUCUGCAUCCACCUUCUGUUCCGCCACCAGCAGCCACCCAACACCACCACGUAGAAUCCACCCCAUCUUUUGUUCCGCCACCAGCAGCCACGCAACACCACCACACCACAGUUGCUACAGCACCACGAAGAACUCAGCCCAGAUCCGGAUAAUCCGCCUUCUAACAUUAAAUUCAAACAAUCCAUCGUCGAACAUAGCACAUAUGAUUUUAGGUGGGCGAAGAAAUUGGAGUGAUUUAUAUGCAAUUAACGUCGUCGUCUUCCUUGUUGCAGAAAUGGUCGAUUUUGGUGAUGCAGAAGGCGGGAGCGACAUCAAUCGAGCUGCAAAAAUUAAUAAUGGGAAUACGAAAAUUGAGCAACAAUGGUGUGAGCGUAAUGAAGGUUAUGGCUGUGGCGAAGAAAACUAGUGUUUUGAAGAACUUGAAAAUAGUGAGAGCAAGCAUUAGUUGAUGGGUCUUUUGCUCUAGAGCUGAUGACGAUUUUUUAUGAUGAUGAAGUGCGGUGGCAGAGGUGGUGGUUGUGGUGGUGCGGUGGUGGGAAGAAGGAAGGGGGUUAGGGUUCUUAAGAAAGUUCUAAAUUGCAAUUUAG
rnacentral:lncRNA from 1 species